CCUACGGGAGGCAGCAGUGGGGAAUAUUGCACAAUGGGGGAAACCCUGAUGCAGCAACGCCGCGUGAAGGACGACGGUUCUCGGCUUGUAAACUUCUGUUUUUAGUGAAGAAUAAUGACGGCAGCUAAGGAGCAAGCCACGGCUUACUACGUGCCAGCAGCCGCGGUCAUACGUAGGUGGCAAGCGUUGUCCGGAAUUACUGGGUGUAAAGGGAGCGCAGGCGGGAAGCCUAGUCAGCUGUGAAAAGUACGGGCUUAAAUUGUAGACAGCAGUUGAACCUGGUUUUCUUGAGUGAAGGAGAGGUUGGCGGAAUGCCGAGUGGAGCGGUGAAAUGCGUAGAUAUUCGGAGGAACACCGGUGGCGAAGGCGGCCAACUGGGCGUGAACUGACGCUGAGGCUCGAAAGUGUGGGGAGCAAACAGGAUUAGAUACCCGAGUAGUC
rnacentral:rRNA from 1 species